CGCUUUGGUCACAGCUUAAACAUUUCUAGGGCGGUGUUAUGAUCCUUAAUGCUUAGCCUGUGUCCGAUGCG
rnacentral:pre_miRNA from 1 species